UCAUUUUUGUGACCUUGUUGUUUGAUUUACUAAGUCUCAGGCAAGUCCUGAGCUGUUUUUAUACCUGCUUUAUUGCCAUUAGUGCUCCUUUUGUUUCAAUAUUCUGCACUGUUAAGUCCUUGCAAUAUCAUCUAAAUAUGGAAAAUGUGAACAUUGUUAUGUCAUCUGAUCAAUGCCAUGCCUGGUUCUGAUCUAGAAUACUUUAAAGCAUGAUACAUAUUUAAAUGUUCCAUUAGUUGGUGAUCUCAUAGACUGCUGAAAUCUGAUCCUUUGCUUAUGAAAUGUUUGAGUUCGGCUCAGGGUCCCUCUGGUUGUAAUAAGCAUGAUUAGUUCUGUUAAGUUUUCAAUUUGAUCCCUGUAAUAUUUAAAGCAUCCUAGUCUCUUGUUUAGAUGUGCAUAAGGUCACCUAUGACCUUUGAUCCUGAUAUAAUGUGAUAGGCGUCUUUGUGAUAGUUUGCUUAAUCUCAGUGCUGCCUCUGUAAUAUUGUGCCAUUGAUGACAUAAAAUGCCAUUAAACCUGAAGAAUACUGCCUCUUUAAGACUCAGUAAUACUUAACUGAUUUUGAAACAUGACUAGCCCUUAUGUAUGAUCUCAUCAUGGCCCUAUUUUUCCAAAACUAUAAAACUUAUAUCUAAGUCCAUGAUAGACUAAUUGAUUUGGUAAGUGGCCAACACCUUUGUAUGCUCCUCUGAUGUCUGUUCUAAGUUGAGAGACUUGCAUUCUAUUGAUAAUUCAGUGUCUUAGGUCUCAAAGUAAAAAUGGUAUGCAAGAAAGGUUUAAAAGAUUCUGAACUUAACAACUAUGGAUUUGGUUAAUGAUUUGUGGAAUCCUGCAAGUUUCUUUGGGGUGCCAUAUUGGGAAAAUUUGCACUUUGUAUCUUACCUGACUCUACUGUACAUGCCUAUUUCAUCUUCUAUGACCUUAAAUGACUGCUUGUCUAUGUUUAGAAAAUGUCAAAAGUAGACCUAAGUACAAUAUAAACAAGCAAUGAGUAGGGACCUAGACUGAAGGUGAGUGUGUUCUUAGGACUUAUUUGAUUCAUGACGUUUAACAUGUCAAGCUAUCUUCCUGUGGCAUGUAUGCUUCCCCUGUCUCUAAUUGUCAUGUUAAUGUCAAAAUUGAAGCUUCUGUAUUUGCUGAAUCUGAAUGGACAUUUAUUGAAAUCAGCAUGACACAUCAGUAGGCUAGACAAAAACCAUUGACCUAUGUGUUCCCUAAUUGAUUCUUAUUUGGGGUUAUAAGGACCACACUAUUUGUUUUUUAGCCUAUGCUUUAGCUGAAAUUACGCUGACACUUAGUGAGGUGUGUAAAUGAAUGUUGAGGGCUAAAGUAACAAAGUAUAAAUUGUAUGAUGCUUGUAAUAAAACUGCAUUCGUUCACUCUCUCUUGUUUGAUAGCAUUUUUCAUACGAAGGAUUGAGUUUGUUCAUUCUGUAUAUGGAACUUGUUAGGAAUUUCCUUCAUCUUGCUUAGUGUUAACUAGCAUACUGCAUGUUGUGUCUGUGCACUUUUCCUUAUUUCCUAUGUAUGCAUGGAGUUGGUGUUAAGUGUCUUAUUUUUUAAUCUCUCUUUGCCUUUUCCUUGUUGAAUUCUCCAUAUAUAUGGAAGUUAUACCCUUUGAUAUACAAGAUAUAUUUAACUUCAUAUACACUCCGGUAUAUAUGAAGUGAUAUAUUUGGUGUAUAGAAGUGUAUAUUCCUUCAUUUCCUUAUAAAUAUAAUUGGCGUUUUGUGGGCUUAUGCCAUUUCAUGACUGUUGCGCCUCCGUUUUAAUGGAAUGAGUAUUUUGCCCAAUCUACUCAUACUCCCUUCUCGUUUGAUGGUUUAUUUUAAGUUUGGGCUUUGUUUAUCUUAACCAGGAAUUUGUUUCAUCCGCAUGUUUAUUUAACUUAUGUGUUUCACCCUAGCUGAUUAUGUGAUUAUUUGAAUACUUAGAAGCAGAUACUAAUCUUUAUCAUUUUGUGUGUUUAUGUGAAAUCCUCCUUGGGCCACUCGCCUGCACUAUACCUGUUGGGCCAGAGGUCCAACUCUCUUUAUUUUUUAUCGAGUCCAUGAGAGAAAUGGCAAGGGAAGCUAACAUAUUGAAGGCCCACUCAUGGGUGAAAGUGGCACUAAUGGGCUUGGGUAGGCCCAUCAGUUGAAAUCUACUUUCUUCUCUCCUUUACUUCACAUAUAUCUUGCAUGUAUACAUGUUGUAUAAGUAAAAACGCUUGGAAAUUUUGGAACCCUUAUGUAUGUUUAGAACUUAGGAAGAAAAAUACACUUAGUAUCUUCAAGAAGUCGCCUAAAACAAUUUUCAAAGUUCGGCCAAUCUCAAACUUGCAUGAAAUUGAUACUUAUUUUGAUUU